rnacentral:lncRNA from 1 species
AGCUGUGGGAGACCUUUUCUUCAGACAUCAACUUUGUGGUGCCAAAAGGAGAUGCUGCCUCUCAUUGAAGCAGGGAGCGCUGCCUCUCUCUCACUGAAGCAGGGAGCGCAUCCUCGGUGGGUAAAGGGCCCUGCGGUUGGACUUCACCUCUCAGCACUGAAAACAUGAACCCAGGUGGCCUUAAAACUCCUUAAUUUAAAGACAUCUUACACUUGAACAGACCCACAACAGCAACCCUGGUUCCAGAGGUGGUGUCUCCGACAGAGCACUUGCUGGGCCGUUGUCUGUGGGCUCAGCUUUUACUACAAGCAAGAAAUCCAGGUCCCAAAGGACUGAGUCUCCUGGGAGGACGCAGCACCUGCUACAAGUGGAUCGCGCUGGCUUUCCUUUAGGGGACAGGGCCACAGCCAUCUGCUGCCCUCAUAGGACCUGCUGGCUGUGGCUGAGAGACAAGACAGUGUUUUGUUGUUCACAUACGGAAUUAGAAUACUUGGCAGUGUCCUUUCUUUACUGAAUAAUGGGGUCUUUGACAUUUCAUAUCACUCCAUUUCUACUCUGGAAAUUUGAGAUUCAUUUGGGGGAAAGAGCGUCAUUCUGUUUGUUUCUGUGGUUUGAUUUUAGCCCGUGGGAUGGUUUGCUCUAGUCUGUCCUGCCUGUGUUUGGGUGGCUCUCCCUUAGGACACCUACCUGCCCGUUUCCGUUUAGAGCAGUUACCUGAUGAAUUUGACCUACCUUGUGCCAUUGUAGAGGGUGGGUGGGCUGAGGCUGCAUGGACCCAUGAGGCCAGGGGGCAUUGGGACAAGAGACCCUGGGAGCCUUCCAGCCGUCAGGCUGCACGCACGUACCUGCUCUAGCUUGCUGGGUUUGUUGUUUGUUUCUUUAUGUAGACUUUGUCCUUGGCGUAAUUUCCCACUCUAGUAAAACAAGUCUCCU